UACGUAGGGGGCUAGCGUUGUCCGGAUUUAUUGGGCGUAAAGAGCGUGUAGGCGGCCAGGUAGGUCUGCUGUGAAAACUCGAGGCUCAACCUCGAGACGUCGGCGGAAACCAUCUGGCUAGAGUCCGGAAGAGGAGAGUGGAAUUCCUGGUGUAGCGGUGAAAUGCGCAGAUAUCAGGAAGAACACCCGUGGCGAAGGCGGCUCUCUGGGACGGUACUGACGCUGGGACGCGAAAGCGUGGGGAGCGAACAGG
rnacentral:rRNA from 1 species